rnacentral:lncRNA from 1 species
AUGAUGGCCAAAGCGUGCGCCAGGGCUAUCCGGGAACCUUGUAAGGCCUUGUGCUGGCACCUAACCCCACUCGCGGCACACUUCCUCUAUGUAGUCUGCGGCCCCGCCUGCCAAAUGAGAGUGACCAGUGCAGGGACAGAAUGCCAGGCUGGUGGCCGACCGCCUGAGGGACAAAGCUCAUUCAAAAGAGCCCAUGGAAACAGAGAGACCCAUGAGGAGUCUCUUGCCACUGGGACUGACUCUGCCUGGGACCCAGAGACCAGAAAUGUUCUAGGAACAGAAAUCAGUGGCAGCCAGAGACGUUCUCCCCAGGUUUCCGGCCCUGCUGGUGGCCCCUCCACCAGGCUCCACACAGGCAGGAACCCCCAGAAGAGGAAAGGGGCCUGUAAUAGGAGUCAUCAACCUGUCACCACGGCUAGGGUGAAUAUGGCCUCUGAGUUGGGGGAAGGGGGGAGGUUUACUCUUUAGCACCACCAGCUGCAGGGAUGGGGAGGGGCUGUGGAGGGUGGGGUGGGGAGGGGAGGCUGGAGGUGGAGCUGGCCUUCUCUAUCCACAGCCCACAGCCUCCUCAGAACAGACACUGGGCUAGUAACGUGCGGUGCUGCGGUCUAGGUCCCUGGCCCC